GGACCUUUAGCUCAUUUGGUCAGACUAGAUUGCUCAUAAACGUCCUUAUAGGUUCAAAUCCUAUAAGGACCA
rnacentral:tRNA from 1 species